rnacentral:rRNA from 1 species
UACGUAGGGUGCAAGCGUUGUCCGGAAUAUUGGGCGUAAAGAGCUCGUAGGCGGUUUGUCGCGUCGAAUGUGAAAACCCGGGGCUCAACCCCGGGCCUGCAUUCGAUACGGGCAGACUAGAGUUCGGUAGGGGAGUCUGGAAUUCCUGGUGUAGCGGUGAAAUGCGCAGAUAUCAGGAGGAACACCGGUGGCGAAGGCGGGUCUCUGGGCCGUAACUGACGCUGAGGAGCGAAAGCGUGGGGAGCGAACAGG